rnacentral:rRNA from 1 species
AUUGAACGCUGGCGGCAGGCCUAACACAUGCAAGUCGAGCGAGCGGCGGACGGGUGAGGAAUGUAUGGGGACUGCCCGCGAGAGGGGGAUAACUAAUGGAAACGGUAGCGAAUACCGCAUAAUAUCGGAAAACCCAUAUGGGAUUAGCUAGUAGGUGAGGUAAUGGCUCACCUAGGCGACGAUCCCUAGCUGGUCUGAGAGGAUGAUCAGCCACACUGGGACUGAGACACGGCCCAGACUCCUCUGGAGGCAGCAGUGGGGAAUAUUGCACGAUGGGCGAAAGCCUGAUGCAGCCAUGCCGCGGGUAUGAAGAAGGCCCUAGGGUUGUAAAGUACUUUCAGUCGGGAGGCGUUACCGACAGAAGAAGCACCGGCUAACGCCGUGCCAGCAGCCGCGGUAAUUC